CGAGCUCCCUCCCGUCGGGCGCGACACCCGCGCCCCGCCCCGUCGGCGUGGGGGCGGGGCUGCCGCAGGCUCCGUCCCGGAGGCUCCUGCUUCGCCCCCGCCGUCGGGGUUUGCUCGAGACCUGGGUCCCCAGAGAAACGCCAAGGGGCUGCCCUUUCUCAGUAAGGCACUGCACGUCCCCUUUCUCGCCGUUAGGCGCGUUGCCCAGGACUUUCUCAGUUUCUUUUCAUCUGCAGAGCACCCAACACAGGCCUCACACUGGCAGGCGUUCAGCCAAGACUUGCUGCCUGGUUUCUAGGUAUAAGCAAAUGCUCCCUGAAGCUGACUUACCUUCCUGGCUACCAGCUGGAUGGCAUCGUCCUCAAAGGCCUUUAUGUUUUUGAGUCGGGAUAUAAGGAUCUGCUGCAGCUGGCUGUGAGUAUAGGGCUGGAAGGACAUCCUGGUGAGACCCUGAGAAGACAAGAUAAUAGAGAACAAGUUCAUUAAUUAUCCACCCUCACAGUCCUGCCACAUGGCCACCCUUGUGUCUCUAAGCCUGAUUUCCAAGUCCCAUAGAACAGGUUACACAUUCCAUCCUGGGACCACCACGGAUUCCAGCUCCUUUCACUACUGACAAUGACCAGUGCUAUCCUGCAGGGCAGCAAUAGUUCUCAAGUAUUUCUUUAUUUUGUUUAAAAUAACUUUUAUUCUACUAGAAUCAUUUAGGAGAUCUAACUUUUAUUCUACUAGAAUCAUUUAGGAGAUCUAACUUUUAUUCUACUAGAAUCAUUUACUAGAUCAAGGCAGAGGUGCUCUCAUUUGAGUAGGUGGGAGUAUCUUUGGCUCUCCGGUAAGCACAGGCCUGGCUCCUGGCUUCACUCAUCAUGCUCUAAGUACUCGAUGUGGGCUUCCUGAUGAACCACCAGGUCCACAAGGGCAGAUGUUGCAUCUGCCUUGCUCGCCGCUAUACUCCAUGCAUCUAACAUCGCCUAGCAGGGCCCAGGUUAUGGAUCUGAAAGAACAGCUUGAGAAAAGCCUUUGGACCUACUAGUCGGCUUGAUACCCGGUUCAUCAUGAUGCGCUCUGGCAGGUCCAUCGUGUUGGCAAUGGUCAGGACCACAAGCCGGGCCUCCUUGUGAGUGGGCCAGUCAAAGAGAUUGUACAUUACGUCUUGUUUCUGAGUCCACAGAAGGUCAAGCUGCCAGUAAAUGGAUAGAGAUGCAGGAUCAACCACAGACCCGAGCCAGAGCCGCAAAGUGAAGACCGGUUACCACUGCUUUAGCUGCAUGUGCUUCUCAGGUCCCAACACGAAAGCAGCAAGGACAUCAAGGGACAUAUGCCUCUCCCCACCAAAGAACAGGCUCAGAUGAAUGAAGGAUGAAAGGAGCCAGGAACACCCUCUCGACCCAGCAAUUGCUCCCGGAGUGCCACAGUCAAGCACGAUGCCACUUUUCUCAUCCUCCCAGGGGAACCUCCUUACCUCAUCCACAAGCAGCACAGUGGUUUCCUGAGAGGACCUCUGGGUAAGGAACCGCUUUGCCAGCAGUUCUGCCGCAUGGUUAGCUGUUGCCUUUUGGCCUGUCAGUUUCUGCAAUGCGGGGAAAGGAGGUAUGGUAAACGGCAAGGUUUGUACUCUCCUGAGCUUAAUGUUAAAUUUGCAAGAGAGGAAGCAAUUUAGUCUGAGGACUUCAGCAUCCUAAAUUCUGCCUUCUGCUCUCGUCUUAACCUUAACCUGGAAGAAGAGAAGGCACCAAAAGAGAUGAUAAAGAAAGUGUUUGAAAUGAAAGUGAGCCACAGGCAGGUCCUAGAAGCCUGUCCACAAUCAUUACUGCAUGACUCCAUUUAUAACUGGACAUUACCUGUUCCAAGAAAACAGCAAAUGAAUGCAAGAGCCAGGUUCAAACUCCAGCCAAUCUCAAAUCCGUUUGCCACAGUUUGCCAUGGGGCCUCCUGUGUGCAGUUUUUACCACGUUAAUAAGUCCUGGCUUCAGUAAUUCAUGUCCAGCUCCUAGACUUUAAGGUCCCUGAGGGUAGGAAUUCUGCUCUCUUUGCUCUUGCUACAAAGGACAAUGUCUGGCACAUCAUAAACAUCAAUAAGCACAAAAUUAGGGGCAUGUGGGUGGGUUCAACCAGUUAAACGUCUGCCUUCAGCUCAGCUGAUAAUCCUGGAAUCCUGGGAUCAAGCCCCAGAGUCAGGCACCCUGCUUUUUUCUCUCCCCUCUGCCCCUCC